rnacentral:rRNA from 1 species
AGAACGAACGCUGGCGGCAUGCCUAAUACAUGCAAGUCGAACGAACUCUUCGGAGUUAGUGGCGCACGGGUGCGUAACGCGUGGGAAUCUGCCCCUCGGUUCGGAAUAACAGUUGGAAACGACUGCUAAUACCGGAUGAUGACGAAAGUCCAAAGUUUUAUCGCCAAGGGAUGAGCCCGCGUAGGAUUAGCUAGUUGGUGAGGUAAAGGCUCACCAAGGCAACGAUCCUUAGCUGGUCUGAGAGGAUGAUCAGCCACACUGGGACUGAGACACGGCCCAGACUCCUACGGGAGGCAGCAGUAGGGAAUAUUGGACAAUGGGCGAAAGCCUGAUCCAGCAAUGCCGCGUGAGUGAUGAAGGCCUUAGGUUGUAAAGCUCUUUUACCCGAGAUGAUAAUGACAGUAUCGGAGAAUAAGCCCCGGCUAACUCCGUGCCAGCAGCCGC